rnacentral:rRNA from 1 species
AACGAACGCUGGCGACAUGCCUAACACAUGCAAGUCGAACGAGACCUUCGGGUCUAGUGGCGCACGGGUGCGUAACGCGUGGGAACCUGCCCUUAGGUUCGGAAUAACUCCCCGAAAGGGGUGCUAAUACCGGAUAAUGUCUUCGGACCAAAGAUUUAUCGCCUUUGGAUGGGCCCGCGUUGGAUUAGCUAGUUGGUAGGGUAAAAGCCUACCAAGGCGACGAUCCAUAGCUGGUCUGAGAGGAUGAUCAGCCACACUGGGACUGAGACACGGCCCAGACUCCUACGGGAGGCAGCAGUGGGGAAUAGUGGACAAUGGGCGAAAGCCUGAUCCAGCAAUGCCGCGUGAGUGAUGAAGGCCUUAGGGUUGUAAAGCUCUUUUACCCGGGAUGAUAAUGACAGUACCGGGAGAAUAAGCGCCGGCUAACUCCGUG